rnacentral:rRNA from 1 species
UACGAAGGGGGCUAGCGUUGCUCGGAAUCACUGGGCGUAAAGCGUGCGCAGGCGGCGCGUUAAGACAGGUGUGAAAGCCCCGAGCUUAACUUGGGAAUUGCGCUUGUGACUGGCGUGCUGGAGUGUGGCAGAGGGAGGUGGAAUUCCACGUGUAGCAGUGAAAUGCGUAGAGAUGUGGAGGAACACCGAUGGCGAAGGCAGCCUCCUGGGCCAGCACUGACGCUCAUGCACGAAAGCGUGGGGAGCAAAAGGG